UCAGUAGUACUAUGUUCAGUUACUUAGGGUCUGUUUGUUUGGGUAUAAUCUGUCCAGAUUAUAAAAUCUAACUUAUUUUGAACUAAACAAACAGGUUCUUAAUGAAUUAGUACAUAAAGAGAAGAGAACUUAAACAUAUAUCGAAUCUGACACACCUUCCUCUGCAGCUCAUCCUGCAACGUUUGUUCAGCCUUCUCUUGCAGUUCCUUUAUGGCAGCAGCAUUCUUCAGUUUUUCUUUCUUUAGCUCCUGAGAACAGCAAGAUAAUUGGACAAUAUGACAAGAGUAAAUAAUCUAUCAUAAAUUCAAUGCAAACAAUAUAUUCUUUUAUGAUCAUAGCCUACAUUGAAUAAUGUGAAGAUACCAUGCAUAUCGCAAUAAGAAUAGCUUUAAACUGUGGCAUUUUUAAAAAGAAAAAUUCAAAAAUAUCCAGACUAACACAGGAAAACAGAGCCUCACAUGAUAUAGUUAUACUAAUUAAUUUUACAAUUACACUAUGACAUCCAAAGCUUUAGUUCAAGGCACUAAAAGUAGUAUUACCAACAUUUUGGAAUCUAAGGAAAACUAAUAUGUACUAAAUCACGUCUGCUUCAUACCUUAUCUAGAAUUGCUGCCUCCUCUGCAUACAUCAGUUCCCUGGCCCUGGUGUCUUUCAGCUCCUUUUCAUACUUCUCCUGAUAAAAUGCAAAGCAUACCACAUAAAACAAUACUAUUCAAUGCCUAAUUUAGGGGAAAAUAAUUUUCAUAGUGGUUUUUUAACUGCUUAUAAUCCACAAUAAUUAUGGGCACCAAUAUAAGUGAGGAAAAUAAGAGUGUAAACCACAAAGGUAAAACUGGUGUUGAACCUUAUAUCCUCAGCAAAUGAAGACCAUAGAUAAGCAAAAAGAUAAAACGAGAAUGGAUAGAGCACCUUCAACUUUCUUCUCUCUUCUGAAUACAUGUAUGCAUCUACAUCUGCCUGCUUCUUUUCGGCAGCAUGAAUAGCCUCAAUGAUAUCAAGUACAAUCUUACCAUCUUCAGAAUUUUUUUCUCGAACAACUUCAUCGCUUCUUUUCUCUUUAAUGGUCUGGUUUUUCCGAAAAAAGAAAAGAAAAAAAGGAUAAUCAAGUAAAUAACAUGGAAGAAUUAUCAUUCAAGUGUCUUCAAGUCAUUUCCAGACACCACUUUGCCCAUAGAAAGUCAUUAUCAUAUUCUUGUAGUCUAAAAACAUUAUAAUAUUUUGCUUACUGCGUCUUUCGAAAGACCAGGUUCAUCUUGCAGUAAAUAAGUCUCAGCAAGAGAUUUCUGCUCAACAGCACCAGCUAUUGUGAGAUCCUACAGACAAGGAUUGAUUCAGUAAUCAGCAAGAUAGUAAUAUAGAAGAGUUUCUCAACAUUUGUGCUAUAUGGAUACUACAAAUGGAGGAUGCUGAAGUGAAGACAGAAACAAAAUAGUUUAUGACAACGCAAAGCUAAACUGUAUGGGUCCCUCCUGACAAAAACAAACAGCUCCAGUACUCAAAUUAAGAGUCCUAUAAAUAAAAACCAGUUCACAAUCAAAAUGUUGUUCAAGAGUGCCAGCUGUCUGGUCCAGUUAAAUAGUCAUAGACAAAUAUAGAUCCAAUAAUGCAACAAUGAACUGUGGGAUAUGCACACUAUGUAGCUCUGAUUACAUAUCGUCCGACUAAUCGCGAUUAGUCGGUCUGAUCGGUUGUUAGAACUCGAUAAGGUGUAACGAUUCGAUCAGGGUAGCUGAUCGUCCUUAUCGUCCGCCUAAUCGCGAUUUAUAGCGAUUACUCGCCGUGUUGGGCGAUCAGCCGAUAGGCCUGGUAGUCCAAAAGCCAUUUUAGGCUUAAAUGCUGUCUGGGGGAGGCCAAAGGACGCCCAAUCCCUUCAGAUACAUCCUGGGUAGACGUGAGCAGUCAGCAGUCCUUUAAAUGCUGUCUGGGAGGCCAAAAGACAUUUUGGACGUGAGCAGUCAGCAGCACCAGCCUUCUCCCCCAUUUUAGACGUGAGCAGUCAGCAGCAGCAGCCUUCUCCGCCAUUUUAGUCGCGAAUAACAGCAGCUGAGAAGUCCAACCGAAAUAAGAGAUAGGGGGAAAAUAUCCCUUGCUAUGGUGGGGUGCAUAUGGAGGGUUUGCUUUCGAACUACAAACCCUUGCAAAAAGAGUUAUAAGCCUCUGUUGCUCGGCCUCUGGUUGUGAGAGAAACUGGAGUGAAUUUUCAGCAAUCCACACCAAGAAGAGGAACCGGCUAGAGCAUCAAAGGUUAUGCAAGUUGGUCUAUAUGAGCUACAACAGGAAGAUGAACAACAGAUUUACAAAGAUAAGAGAGCAAGGUUCAAAGGGAAAGAAAAGCAACCCACUAGCGCUUGAAGAGCUUUUGUGGGAAAAUGAGUGGGUUCAGGAGUCUGAAGAAGGUGAGGAGCUUUGGAGUGCAGUAGAUGAAGUUUUAGGUGCAACUCAAGCUACCCAGGGCAGAAACUUGCCUAGGGCAGCAGCUACACAUGGUGGGAGGACCUACUCCGAGACCUAUGUUAGGAGUAGGAAGCGCCAAAAAGUUACAGUGGCUCAGGACUUGCAGCAAGGAGAUGGCAGUAGCAGUGACAGUCACAACGGAAAUGAUCAUCGAGAGCCAACUCAAAAUGACCAAGAUGCUGCAGAAAAAGCGAUUGAUGAUGAAGAAGAAUCUGGAGCUGCUGGUGAUCAAUUCAAGCUGGAUGAUGAUCUCAUAUAGCCAUAUAGGUGUUGCCUUCUUGGACCUUGGUCAUAGUCUACUAAUCUACUGGUCUAGUAAGUUGUAGACUUGCAGUUUCAUAGUCUUAUAUAAAUAAUAAACUUGUUGUGCUGUUA